rnacentral:lncRNA from 1 species
CUUAAAUAUCAUCAGUCUUUCUUUCAGAUUUUCCACUUUAUAGAGACUGGUGUAUAUCCCACAAGAAAUGAAGACAUUAUAGUCAUUGUGAACACUCUAGAAAACAUAAAAUGUGUGGUCUUUCUACUCUGAUGAUUUAUUUCAAGAAUCAAAAACUCAGGACAGACCUUGAUUAGUAUGGAUUCCCUGGAGGAAGGCCUCAAAGUGAAAAUAAAACUCAGCAGCAGUCCUAAGGCUGAUGUCACCACCCAUUAUUAUAAAGGAGAACAUUUGAUACUGAAAGAUCCCUGAGCUCCC